rnacentral:rRNA from 1 species
UACGUAGGGGGCUAGCGUUGUCCGGAAUCAUUGGGCGUAAAGAGCGUGUAGGCGGCCCGGUAAGUCCGCUGUAAAAGUCAAAGGCUCAACCUUUGAAUGUCAGUGGAUACUGCCGGGCUAGAGUCCGGAAGAGGCGAGUGGAACUCCUGGUGUAGCGGUGGAAUGCGCAGAUAUCGGAAGGAACGCCGGUGGCGAAAGCGACACGCUGGACCUUUUCUGACGCUGAGGCGCGAAAGCCAGGGGAGCAAACGGG